UACAGAGGGUGCAAGCGUUGUUCGGAAUCAUUGGGCGUAAAGGGCGUGUAGGCGGUUUGUUAAGUCAUGUGUGAAAUCCCUCGGCUCAACCGGGAACGACGCAUGAAACUGGCAAGCUAGAGUACCAAAGAGGGCGGUGGAAUUCCUGGUGUAGCGGUGAAAUGCGCAGAUAUCAGGAGGAACACCGAUGGCGAAGGCAGGUCUCUGGGCAUUAACUGACGCUGAGGAGCGAAAGCAUGGGGAGCGAACAGG
rnacentral:rRNA from 1 species